CCAACCAGCUGAGGCUGCAGCUGCAGCAGCGCCUGCAGGGCCAGCAGCAGUUGCUGCAGCAGAACCGCCAGGCGGCGCUGCUGGGUCACUUCGGGCCGCCCGUGGGGCUCUCGCUGCGCGCCGGGAUCCCGCAGCAGCAGCAGCCGCAGCCGCAGCCGCCCCUGAACGCGCAGAUGCUGGCGCAGCGGCAGCGGGAGCUCUACAGCCAGCAGCACCGGCAGCGGCAGCUGAUGCAGCAGCACGCGCUCCUCAUGCGCCAGCAGCAGCAGCAGCAGCAGCAGCAGCAGCAGCAGCAGCAGCAGAGUUUCGGGAAUUCCGCGCUGGGGACGCCCCUGGGAGCGCCCAUGGGGACGGCCCGGCCGCAGUUCCCCUUCCCGCCGGAGUGCGGUACGGC